GCGCCUCUGCGGUGUACGUGAGCGGCUGGGUAGUAUCCUUGAGCCUAAUUUCAUACCCCGGGGACUGAGCUGUCGAUGUGGUUGUGCAUGUCCGCCUUCGCAGCGGAAAGCCUCAAAGCAUCGCGCAGGUCCCCACUUGAACCCCCGGUUCAAGGUCGAAGGUACGCCACGGCACAUGCGGAGUGCGC
rfam:Thioalkalivibrio denitrificans strain ALJD Ga0073317_1044, whole genome shotgun sequence.